GACGCCGUAUGAUUAUAGGGACAGUCGGGGGCAUCAGUAUUCAAUUGUCAGAGGUGAAAUUCUUGGAUUUAUUCGAAGACUAACUACUGCGAAAGCAUUUGCCAAGGAUGUUUUCAUUAAUCAGGAACGAAAGUUAGGGGAUCGAAGACGAUCAGAUACCGUCGUAGUCUUAACCAUAAACUAUGCCGAUUAGGGAUCGGACGAUGUUAUUUUUUGACUCGUUCGGCACCUUACGAUAAAUCANAAUGUUUGGGCUCCUGGGGGAGUAUGGUCGCAAGGCUGAAACUUAAAGAAAUUGACGGAAGGACACCACCAGGGGUGGAGCCUGCGGCUUAAUUUGACUCAACACGGGGAAACUCACCAGGUCCAGACACGAUGAGGAUUGACAGAUUGAGAGCUCUUNCUUGAUCUCGUGGGUGGUGGUGCAUGGCCGUUCUUAGUUGGUGGANUGAUUNGUCAGCUUAGUNGCGAUAACNAACGAGACCUUAACCUGCUANAUAGCCCGUAUUGCUUUGGCAGUACGCCGGCUUCUUANAGGGACUAUCGGCUCGAGCCGAUAGAAGUNUGANGCNAUAACAGGUCUGUGAUGCCCUUANAUGUUCUGGGCCGNACGCGCGCAACACUGACAGAGCCAGCGAGUACUCCNUUGGCCGGNAAGUCNGGNUAAUCUGGUUAAACUCUGUCGUGCUGGGGAUAGGGCAUUGCACUANUCGAANUCCNGCGGNCGCCAUGCCGGCCGGGNAUCNUGNGACCUCGGGGCCCAANGCGNCCUAUAGUGAGUCNUUAUUAAG
rnacentral:rRNA from 1 species